rnacentral:rRNA from 1 species
UAUACGUGCCAGCAGCCGCGGUAAUACGUAAGGUGCAAGCGUUAAUCAGUAUUAUUAGGCGUAAAGCGUGUGUAGGCUGAAGAUUAUGAAGUAUGUAAAAUAAUAGAGCUUAACUCUAUAAAGCAUACUUUACUAAUCUACUAGAAGAUAGGUAAAGAUAACGGAAUUCUACAAGUAACAGUGAAAUGUGUAAAUAUGUAGAGGAACACCAAAAGCGAAGGCAGUUAUCUUACCUUGAUUGACGCUGAUACACUAAAGCGUGGGGAGCAAACAGGAUUAGAUACCCUGGUAGUCCACGCCCUAAACGUUGUCAACUAACUGUCUAUAUUAGGGAAAACUCUAGAAUAGGUGGUGAAGCUAACGCAUUAAGUUGACCGCCUGGGGACUACGAUCGCAAGAUUAAAACUCAAAGGAAUUGACGGGGACCCGCACAAGCGGUGGAUGAUGUGGAUUAAUUCGAUGCAACACGAAGAACCUUACCUACCCUUGACAUGUAUAGAAUUUAUUUGAGAGAAUAAAGUGCCAUAUAAAGGAACUAUAACACAGGUGCUGCAUGGCUGUCGUCAGCUCGUGUCGUGAGAUGUUGGGUUAAGUCCUAUAACGAGCGCAACCCUAUUUUCAUAUUACUAAUAUAAAGUACAUUUGAAAAACUGCCAAUGAACAAAUUGGAGGAAGGAAAGGAUGACGUCAAGUCCUCAUGGCCCUUAUGGGUAGGGCUUCACACGUCAUACAAUGGCUGUUACAAAAAGAAGCAAACUUGUGAAAGUGAGCAAAACUCUAAAAACAGUCCUAGUUCGGAUUGUACUCUGAAACUCGAGUACAUGAAGCAGGAAUCGCUAGUAAUCGCAGAUCAGAAUGCUGCGGUGAAUACGUUCUC